UUUAAUAUUUAUAAAACCAUUCAAAUGGCCAAGGGCUUCAUCAAUCAUUAGCCCUUGACAACAUCAAUCACUUCCAACCACAAUUCAAUCAAGAAUUCAAACCACAAAUAAGCUAAAUGUUCGAUCCAAGUCAAAAAUUCAGUUUCAUAAAGAAACAGGACAUUCAAGCAGGACAGUCUACUUUGAGGAGUCACGGACAGCAGUACAUAUGGAGGAAAAAUAUGAAAUUUCUACAGAACAAAGGCCCAUGAAUCUAGUUUCAAAUGCCACUGACGGCGCCUUAAACGGAUUUUCCUACACCAAGAUACAUGCAUUUUACUGAGACUGGUCAGGGACAUCCGAAAAUCUGAAAUUUCAUUUUCCACUUGUGAAAAACUCCUUUUUCUCUUUUAACACCAAAAUGUUUUUAUUCAACCAUCCAUACAUUUCUUAUAAAACUCCAAAACAACAUAUUCCAGGCAUUUCCAUCCAUCAUGAUUCAAAGAAAUAUUUAAAAACCAAGCUAAGAUUCCAACUCACCCUUCGGCUACCACAAAAGAAAUUCCGGCAUGUAUAC
rnacentral:lncRNA from 1 species